rnacentral:pre_miRNA from 1 species
AAUAAAUCAAUUUUUCACUUUUUACUUAUAAUUUUUGACUCUUUGUUUUAUUAAAUUUUUUUGUAAUUGAUAUUUUUAUUUUUAUUAGAUGAUAAAUCAUAAAUAAUAAUUUACAUGUAACUAACUUUUUUCUAAUUUUCUAAAAAAAUUUUAAAUAAAAUGGAUGGUUAAACGUUGAACACGAAAUCG